UACGUAGGGGGCUAGCGUUGUCCGGAAUCAUUGGGCGUAAAGCGCGUGUAGGCGGCCCGGUAAGUCCGCUGUGAAAGUCGGGGGCUCAACCCUCGGAUGCCGGUGGAUACUGUCGGGCUGGAGUGCGGAAGAGGCGAGUGGAAUUCCUGGUGUAGCGGUGAAAUGCGCAGAUAUCAGGAGGAACACCGGUGGCGAAGGCGGGUCUCUGGGCCGUAACUGGACGCUGGAGGGGCGAAAAGCGUGGGGAGCAAACAGG
rnacentral:rRNA from 1 species